UACGUAGGGUGCGAGCGUUAAUCGGAAUUACUGGGCGUAAAGUGUGCGCAGGUGGCCGCGCAUGUCGAGUGUGAAAUCCCCGGGCUUAACUUGGGAAUUGCGCUCGAAACUACGUGGCUCGAGUGUGGCAGAGGAAGGUGGAAUUCCACGUGUAGCGGUGAAAUGCGUAGAUAUCAGGAGGAACACCGGUGGUGUAAGACGGCUUACUGGACCACGCUGACACUGAGGCACGAAAGCGUGGGUAGCAAACAGG
rnacentral:rRNA from 1 species